AAUCUUGGGAAGCACUGGAAGUUAAACAUCCUCACAAGUUGACUGACUCCACGGAUGUGGGGUCCAUGGAUGUGUUGAGGGCCAAUUGUACUGCAUUUUGUUUAUCCAGUUCUUCGUCAAUGGACACUUGGGUUCCUUCCACCUUUUGGCUGUUGUGAAGAAUGCCCUGUGAACGUGGGUGUACAAAUUAAUAUCUGAGACCCUGCUUUCAGUUCCUUUACUACUUAGAAUUUUAACUUAAGCAAAAUAACUGGUAAAGGUUUUAACUUCUUACUUUGAUCUGUCCUUUUUCUUCUGAGGUUGGUCCCUUUUAUGCUUAUUCAAUUCCUGUUCCUUCACCCUACCCUAACCCUUGUCUUCCCGUACCACUGAUGGAGCUGCAGUAUUGUGGCUCUUUUCUGUUUACUUCCCAGGGCAGCAGCAAUUGAAACAAUGAUGAUAUCAGCAGGACUGUGCAAAGUUUCCCAGGACAAUGUCAGCCACAGAAGACACUCCUAUGCUGCAGACCGGCAGAGGGCGGGGGCUCCUCUGCUUAGCCCCACCCAUCAGCCCUGCCACGUUCUCUGCUAGGGAGCUCCAGCCUCACUGUCACCUCUCAUCCCUGCCCCCUCGCAGCUUUCCUCCCUCCAUGGCCUCUGUCUUUCCUUCACUCCUUAGUCUCAUCCUGAUUUCUUACUUUCUGUUUGAGAAGCCUGAUUCUGAACCCCAUGUGUUAAUAAGGCCACUAACUGGUAAGACUGUAUGUAACACUCGGAUUUGUCAUCAUUGGGACAGCACAGAUCAUUUGUGAAUAAAUGGAUUUCUAAAGUGA